rnacentral:rRNA from 1 species
GAGACAGCAGCAGCCACGGUAAUGCGUAGGUGGCAAGCGUUGUCCGGAAUUAUUGGGCGUAAAGCGCGCGCAGGCGGAUCGGUCAGUCUGUCUUAAAAGUUCGGGGCUUAACCCCGUGAUGGGAUGGAAACUGCCAAUCUAGAGUAUCGGGGAGGAAAGUGGAAUUCCUAGUGUAGCGGUGAAAUGCGUAGAUAUUAGGAAGAACACCAGUGGCGAAGGCGACUUUCUGGACGAAAACUGACGCUGAGGCGCGAAAGCCAGGGGAGCGAACGGGAUUAGAUACCCCUGUAGUCCCUGUCUCUUAUACC